rnacentral:rRNA from 1 species
CCCAAAACCCACCCCCCCUGUCGACGACCCUCACCGUAUACGUGGUGCUGUGGGGCCGAGGCUGGGCCGACCUGAGCGCCCUACUCCUAGCGACCGCCGUCGCCUCCUAGAUCCUAUUCCACGACGCCUCCGGUUACACGGCCGUGUCGCUGGCCGCCGACAUGCUCUUCCUCCUCCUGGUCGUGCUGUACGCGUUGUCCAGGGCCGCGCGCCUCCUCGGCCACCCUACGCCGCCCAUCCCCGACCUGCAGCCGGUGGCCGACGAGCUCGACGCCCUCAUCCGCUCCGUCCUAGCCGGCAUCUCCUCCGCCUUCCGCCGCGUCGCGCAGGGCCAGCUCGGCUCCGGGUGCGUCUUCGCCUGACUCAGCUGCUCAAGGAACCAUGAGCCUUCCUCUCCGGCCCCUUCCGCGCCAUCAUGGACGCCGCCGAGCUCCUCCUCCACAAGAUUCGCUACCAGGGCGACCAUGCCGACAACACCGUGGUGCUGGUGGUGCCCUACGCCUGCUGCGGCACACUCAUCGGCAAAGGAGGCACGCUCAUCAAGUCGUUAGCUGAAGCGACAAAGGCUGGAAUCACGGUCUCGCACCACCGAGUCUGCUACAGUUUCAAUGACAGACUGGUUAAGAUCACUGCUUUGAUUCCUUGCGGCGUCGCGCCUCCCGCCUUUGGUGUUGUUCUGGGUCUGCCCGUGCCAGAUUCGUGGCCUCGCAUGUUUAAUGGGGUGCCUUACUGUAGUCUAGAUAAUCAGCACAUGAAUGGACUGUUAAUUAAUCCGUUAAUGUACACAAGGAGUUUGUUUAAUCUAGAAAUUGUACAAAUCUGCAUCAUGCAAACUUACUUCAGGUUGUUACAUAAGGAAGGAGCUCGGGGUUCAGUUCCAAGCAAUAGGGGUUGGGUUGAUUCCUCUAGAAAUAGUCAGAUGAAUCAUUGCUGUAAUUUGUAAAGUUGUCAAGGAAAGUAGUUUAGCCAAAAUAUUUAUUGUGGGCAUUCUGUUAGCUAGUGUGCAUUGCCAAGUACAACUAUUCUACUUUGUAUGGAAUCAUCUCACUAUUCUGAACAUUUGAAACUUGCUAUGUGCAGGGUGACUAGUGAUGGGGCACGCCAAGCAGCAUCAGGGGAAGGGGGUCUCCUGCUCGAGGAGGCGAAGGAGUAGGGGCGCACCCAGCCGGCAGCCCCGUCCUGCUUGAGGGGGAGGGGCAAGAGGUGUCUGCUCCUCUGCUUCCAUUGCGACCGCGGCAGGAGCAACGUUGCUGAUGGUGACGAGUACGUGAUGGUGGCUAGUGUGGUGGACGACCCGACCAAACCAAUGAUUCAAGGCUUCUCCUGCUGCUGCUGCAUGUCUUCAUCAACUUAGUUCUUCUACAGGGAGAGAUAAAUUCUUCACUUGUUCACUGUGUAAUCUGCAGAUUACUUCCAUUAAUCACCUAGUGCUCCUGUUAGUGAGAUUCAUCUAGUAUUUCUUUUUGCAAAGAAUGCAAUGGUCUGGAGUACUUGAUCAUGGCCUGAUGGAACAUGUCGUUACAGCAGCUAGAAGCAAUCCAUUUUGUUAAAUGCAUUCUGGUUAGGAUUUGGUCAUGGCAGCACCUUGCUAUUUUCUUUUCUUUAAAUCUGGUUGCAAGUUUACUAUUUUUCCAGAACCAUCAUCUUACAUUUUGGGCAUCGGGCAUUGAAAUUUAGGCAUUUAUGUAUAAUUUUUGUUCUGGAUGUGUCCUAUGCAAACAUUACUAUUAAUUGUCAAGUUGAUUCUAAAAUAUCUCAUUAACUAAAUUUUAGAUGGUGAUUUCUAGAUUUAGUACCAAUUUAUUGUUGGCCUGGCCUAUGCUCAGUACCUUGCUCUAUACCAAUUUAUUGCAUUAUUCUGUUAUUUACGGUUAAAUAUGCUAUCAUUAACUUUGAGAAAAUGUUAUGUUUUUGCUGAUUAGUGGCAGUACAUCUUUGCUUUACUAUUCCUAGCAGCUGCAGUUCAUCUACCAUAAACAUGUUGUGUACAUUCUGAACCCCCAAACAUGACACAAGUGAUAUGUAUAUGCAACAGGGAAUCGUCAACUUGUACAGUUUGUUUACUGGAAUGUAACUUGUACAAUUUUUACUUGAAUAUGUUCAGUUAUGAAGUUGUGUAGUUUUUUUUUCUCAUCAGUUCUAAACUGCAGUACUUUACUGAAUUGUCGAUGAUGUUGAAUGAAUCUAGCUUGUUGGGUUCAGUCUCUUGUUUAGAGUAAAUUCAAGUCGGAAGAUGUUCAAAGAAGCUCCAAGACAUUCUCUUAUAUAGCAAGUUAUGUAAUAAUAGCGAGUUAUCUGGGAAUUUAAUGUAUCUUCUCUCUGUUUGUGAAUGAAAUAGUAAUUAUGUAUGUGAAUUAAUGUAUCUUCUCUUUGUUUGUGAAUUUCAUGUAUGUUUCAG